ensembl:lncRNA
GGGGGGAGAGAGACCCUGGCACGCUUUAGUGCAGGCCUGUCGAGUACUAUAAAGAGAGGGAGGGGAUGGAGAGGUGGAGGGGGGAGAGAGACCCUGGCACGCUUUAGUGCAGGCCUGUCGAGUACUAUAAAGAGAGGGAGGGGAUGGAGAGGUGGAGGGGAAGUUGAGAGAUUGAGGUUUAAAAAGGCCCCACUGAACUAUUAGCCUAGAACUCAUAACCUAACGAGGGAAGAAAACUAGAAAGGUACGCAAGCCAACUUUAGAUUGAGACAACACGACAGACUUAGCAGAGGUAGCAUCAACAUGACAGACUUAGCAGAGGUAGCAUCAACAUGACAGACUUAGCAGAGGUAGCAUCAACACGACAGACUUAGCAGAGGUAGCAUCAACAUGACAGACUUAGCGGAGGUAGCAUCAACACGACAGACUUAGCAGAGGUAGCAUCAACACGACAGACUUAGCAGAGGUAGCAUCAACACGACAGACUUAGCAGAGGUAGCAUCAACACGACAGACUUAGCAGAGGUAGCAUCAACACGACAGACUUAGCGGAGGUAGCAUCAACACGACAGACUUAGCAGAGGUAGCAUCAACACGACAGACUUAGCAGAG